CUAAUAAAUGCAGUCGACGCUUCUUUUUCCCCGGAGCUUGCUCCACCGGAAAAAGAAGAGUGGCGAACGGGUGAGUAACACGUGGGUAACCUGCCCAUCAGAAGGGGAUAACACUUGGAAACAGGUGCUAAUACCGUAUAACAAUCACCACCGCCUGGUUUUGAUUUGAAAGACGCUUAUUGUCUCUCUUAUGGAUGGCCCCGCGGCGCUAUUAUCUUUUUUGAGAAGUAACCGCCCACCCACGCCACGAUGCACCAACCAACUGAGAUGGUGAUCCGCCCCCUUGGGAAUGAAACCCCGCCCCACCUCCUACAGGAGGCAGCAGUAAGCAAUCCUCCGCAAUGGAAGAAAGUCCGAACGACCCACCGCGCGUGAAUAAAGAAUGCUUACCGAACGAAAAACUUUGUUGGUAGAACAAAACCAAGAUUAACGGUACUGCCCUUCCCUUGACCGUAUCUAACCACAAAGCCACGGUUAAUUACGUGCCAGCAGCCGCGCUAAUACGUAAGUGGCUAGCGUUAUCUGGAUUUAUUGGGCGUAAAGCGAGCGCAUGUUGUUUCUUAUGUCUGAUGUGAAAGCCACCGGCUCAACCUCGGAGGGUCAUUGGAAACUUGGAGACUUGAAUGCAAAUGAAGACCGUGGAAAUCCCUGUGUUGCGGUGAAAUUGCGGAAGAACUCCGGUGGGAACACCACUCUCUGAAGGCGGCUCUCUGGUCUUAUACUCGACACCUUAGGCUCCAAACAGUGUGGGAUCACCCAGGGAGUCAACACCCAGUGUAGUCCUCGCCCUUAUACGAUAAAAUGCCCACUGUUCGAAGGUUUCCCUCCCCUCUAUGGCUGCCCGCUAAUACAAUUAAAA
rnacentral:rRNA from 1 species